GAUUUUGACGUGUAAGAUGUCGUUGGAAAGCUCUCUUCCUUCUCUUCAUUUCUGGGUUCGUUUCGUAGCUUAAUAUGAACUGUGGAAGGUGCAGCAACAAGAAGAAGAUGACGGUCACUGUAGCAUUUUUGAGGCAGCGUCGAUAUUUUCUGAUUCCGGCAGUCUCCGGCCACCAAAUUGGCGUCGAAGGGUUCUUGGAGUUUUCUGGAAAAAUUUCACCGGCCUAAUUGGAGCUCUUCCAGGGCGACGUAC